UACGUAGGGGGCAAGCGUUGUCCGGAAUCAUUGGGCGUAAAGAGCGUGUAGGCGGCCCGAUAAGUCCGCUGUGAAAGUCCAGGGCUCAACCCUGGGAUGCCGGUGGAUACUGUCGGGCUUGAGUACGGAAGAGGCGAGUGGAAUUCCUGGUGUAGCGGUGAAAUGCGCAGAUAUCAGGAGGAACACCAAUGGCGAAGGCAGCUCGCUGGAACGGUACUGACGCUGAGGCGCGAAAGCGUGGGGAGCGAACAGG
rnacentral:rRNA from 1 species